rnacentral:rRNA from 1 species
GCAUAUCAAUAAGCGGAGGAAAAGAAACUAACUAGGAUGCGCUUAGUAACGGCGAGCGAACCGCGCAAAGCCCAACUUGAAAAUCUCCCNUUGGAGAAUUGUAGUCUAUAGAAGUACCCUCUGUAACGGGCGCAGCUCAAGUCUCCUGGAAAGGGGCGUCAGAGAGGGUGAGAACCCCGUAAGCUGUUGCUUUGUUGCCUCACGAGGUGCUUUCAAAGAGUCGGGUUGCUUGGGAAUGCAGCCCAAAUUUGGUGGUAAAUCCCAUCUAAGGCUAAAUAUUGGCGAGAGACCGAUAGCGAACAAGUACCGUGAGGGAAAGAUGAAAAGAACUUUGAAAAGAGAGUUAAAAAGUGCUUGAAAUUGUUGAGGGGGAAGCGUUUGAAUGCUAGAGUGCGCCUAGGCUUAUGGGUUCUUAACGGAGCUCUGUAUGUGCUACGUGCUGGCCAGCAUGGGUUAGGCGAGCGGGAUAAACGCUGGGGUUGAUACCCGGUCUAUGCCGCUUGCUUGACCAAGGCGUGAAGACUGCCCUUGUCCUUCGGGAACUGCAGUCUCAAGAUGCUGGCAAAAGGCUUUCAACCGACCCGUCUUGAAACACGGACCAAGGAGUCUAACAUGUAUGCGAAUUGGUGGGUGGAAAACCCAUGAAGCGUAAGGAAACUGACUGGUGAGAUGGCCUGUGCCUGCAUCAUCGACCGACCAUGCGUUUCUGCAAAAGGUUUGAGUGCGAGCAUACCUGUUGGGACCCGAAAGAUGGUGAACUAUGCCUGAACAGGGUGAAGCCAGGUGAAAACCUGGUGGAGGCUCGUAGAUGUGCUGACGUGCAAAUCGCUUUUCGGACUUGGGUAUAGGGGCGAAAGACUAAUCGAACCAUCUAGUAGCUGGUUUCCUCCGAAGUUUCCCCCAGGAUAGCUGGAGCUUAAUCGGAGUACGGUCAGGUAAAGCGAAUGAUUAGAGGUUCGGGGGAUGUAACAUCCUUCACCUAUUCUCAAACUUUAAAUAGGCCGGACGUCCAGGUUGCUUAAUUGAACCUGUGGCAUUCUAUCCGAGCUCCAAGUGGGCCAUUUUUGGUAAGCAGAACUGGCGAUCCGGGAUGAACCGAUAGUCGAGUUAAGGUGCCAAACUACGCGCUAACCUAGAUCCCACAAAGGGUGUUGAUUGAUAUAGACAGCAGGACGGUGGUCAUGGAAGUCGAAAUCCGCUAAGGAGUGUGUAACAACUCACCUGCCGAAUCAAUUAGCCCCGAAAAUGGAUGGCGCUGAAGCGCGUGACCUAUACUCGGCCAUGGAAGUAAGUGCGAGACUUCCAUGAGUAGGAGGACGUGAAUAUCGUUGCGCAGCCUGGGGCGUGAGCCUGGGUGAAACGGUAUUUAGUGCAGAUCUUGGUGGUAGUAGCAAAUAUUCAAAUGAGAACUUUGAAGACUGAAGUGGAGAAAGGUUCCAUGUGAACAGCAAUUGGACAUGGGUUAGUCGAUCCUAAGAGAUGGGGUAAUCCUGUAUCAAGAGCGCGAUUAGCGCUGCCCAUCGAAAGGGAAAAGGGUUAAGAUUCCCUUACCUGGACACGGCGGCUGACGGUAACGUUAACGAGCCCGUAGACAUCGGCAUUGGCCCUGGGAAGAGUUCUCUUUUCUUUUUAACAGCUCGAAGGCCCUGGAAUCGAAUCAUUCGGAGAUAGGGCUCAGAAGCUGGUAAAGCACCGCACGUUUCGUGGUGUCCGGCGCGCCAAUGACGGUCCUUGAAAAUACNGGGGAGCNNNNNCCGAUCGUGCCAGUCGUACUCAUNNNNNNNNNNNNNNNNNNNNNUGAANAGCCUCUAGUCGAUAGAAUAAUGUAGAUAAGGGAAUCGGCAAAAUGGAUCCGUAACUUCGGGAAAAGGAUUGGCUCUGAGGGUUGGGCCUAGGGGUCUGCAUUCAGAAGCUUAGGACUGUCGAUGGUCUGCUGAGCGGCUUCGGUUGCGAGGCGGACCGUCGCGUGUCUUGAGUGGACGGGUGUAGAAGCUUCGGCGUUCCCUAGGCGACGAACAACCGACUCAGAACUGGUACGGACAAGGGGAAUCCGACUGUUUAAUUAAAACAAAGCAUUGUGAUGGUCCUAAAGGAUGUUGACACAAUGUGAUUUCUGCCCAGUGCUCUGA